rnacentral:rRNA from 1 species
AUUGAACGCUGGCGGCAUGCCUUACACAUGCAAGUCGAACGGCAGCACGGGAGCAAUCCUGGUGGCGAGUGGCGAACGGGUGAGUAAUGUAUCGGAACGUGCCCAAUCGUGGGGGAUAACGUAGCGAAAGUUACACUAAUACCGCAUACGAUCUACGGAUGAAAGCAGGGGAUCGCAAGACCUUGCGCGAUUGGAGCGGCUGAUAUCAGAUUAGGUAGUUGGUGGGGUAAAAGCUUACCAAGCCUACGAUCUGUAGCUGGUCUGAGAGGACGACCAGCCACACUGGGACUGAGACACGGCCCAGACUCCUACGGGAGGCAGCAGUGGGGAAUUUUGGACAAUGGGCGCAAGCCUGAUCCAGCCAUGCCGCGUGCAGGAUGAAGGCCUUCGGGUUGUAAACUGCUUUUGUACGGAACGAAACGGCCUUUUCUAAUACAGAGGGCUAAUGACGGUUCCGUAAGAAUAAGCACCGGCUAACUACGUGCCAGCCGCCGCAGUAA